rnacentral:rRNA from 1 species
UACAGAGGUCUCAAGCGUUGUUCGGAUUCACUGGGCGUAAAGGGUGCGUAGGUGGCGAGGAAAGUCGGAUGUGAAAUCCCUCGGCUUAACCGGGGAACUGCGUCCGAUACUGGUUGGCUUGAGUUUGGGAGAGGGAUGCGGAAUUCCAGGUGUAGCGGUGAAAUGCGUAGAUAUCUGGAGGAACACCGGUGGCGAAGGCGGCAUCCUGGACCAAUACUGACGCUGAGGAGCGAAAGCCAGGGGAGCAAACGGG